rnacentral:rRNA from 1 species
UACGGAGGGUGCAAGCAUUAAUCGGAUUUAUUGGGCGUAAAGGGCGCGUAGGCGGGAAUGUAAGUCAGAUGUGAAAUCCUGGAGCUCAACUCCAGAACAGCAUUUGAAACUGCAUUUCUAGAGGGUAGGCGGAGAAAACGGAAUUCCACAAGUAGCGGUGAAAUGCGUAGAUAUGUGGAAGAACACCAGUGGCGAAGGCGGUUUUCUAGCUUAUUCCUGACGCUGAGGCGCGAAAGCAAGGGGAUCAAACAGG